AGCUUUGCUGUUUGUUUGUAGCUAGUUCCCCCUAUUAAAGAGCUCCUCAUACUUGGCGUAAUUUCAGCUCCACCAGAAUAAUCCACCUCUUUACUUUUAAUUUUGUGUGCAUGUAUAACGCCAGCUUGUUUGCAAGCCGCCUUUUUUCCUUUGAAGUAGCAUCUUUCUAGUCUCUAGGGAGUUCCAUGGUGACAUGCAUGUAUGAACCAAUUUUCAGCCUGAUUAUUUUUUCUCAAUAAAUGAAAUAUAUUAAUAUCAAGAUAGAUACUGAUUACACCCAGCCUCUGCACCAUCACAAUAUCAAGACCUAGUCAAAACGUCAAGAAUGCACAAAACCAAAUUAUUACAAAAGGUAAAAAGGAAAAGUGUGAUCAAGAGUGUUACAGUAGAUACUUUGUUUGGCUAAAUUCUCGCAAGUUUUGUUUCUCCUUAUUUGAACUAAUUAAUGUUGUAAGGAAAGUUAGAAUUCAGAGAGAGCUCCAUUAGUUUUUUUUAGAGUACCUGGAAAGCAUGGUCCUCAAGAAUAAAUAGGAACCUAAAUUCGCCUCCGUGAGGAUUCGAACCCAGGUGUUGGGUUUGUACAUCCACUCCCCCAACCAGUUGAGCUAGGCUCACUCCCCAAAGAGAGCUCCAUUAGUGAGUAGCGUUUUCCUAUUUAUCUCUUCUGUUACAGAUUCCAACUUUUGGUGAUAUCAGAAACUAUUUUGCUGAAGUUCUUGAAAUUAUUAUUAUUGGUCUCUUAGUCAGACACACGCAUGUUUUGCCCUGCAAAAAUCAAUUGUUGUUCGUAUUGCCAUGAAUCAGUUUAGUGGAUUAUCAAUAUUCCUUUUGCUGCUAUUGCAGGUUGUCAAUUGCUGGCGUGUCUUCUUCACUAAACAUUAGUACUAUUUUCCAAUUUCCCUGACAUUUUCUCGCUCCAAAUCCCAUAAAGAAAAUCACAAUGUUCUGACCCUAUGCAACUGCUCCUAGAGACAUAUUGUAGCAAACAGAAGUCUCCAAUUUUUUGAUCUUGGUACACCAACCAUAACAAUGGCAUUCCCAACCCUACCAAUUACACUCACAUGCCUUACAGUGUUGGUAUUCUUGUCGAUUGCCAUGGCAGCUGCUAACGACUCCAUGGACUCGGGCCUUGUCCUCCUAAAUUGCGGAGAAUCAAAGCAAGACAAUGACAGUAGUGGCCGUAUGUGGGACGGGGACACCGGCUCCAAAUUCAUGACAUCGUUUAAAGGGGUUGCAGCCAAUGCUUCAUACCAAGACCCUUCACUCCCCUCCAUGGUCCCUUAUAUGAGUGCACGCAUCUUCACUUCAAAUUACACCUAUUCCUUCCCUGUCAACCCAGGCCGCAUGUUCUUACGCCUUUACUUCUAUCCGAUUUCUUAUGGAAACUAUACUAUGUCCGAUGCCUUCUUUGGUGUCACCUUAGGAAAUCUAGUCCUCCUGAAUAGCUUCAAUGCUUCACAAACGGCUCAGGCGGCCAAUUAUGCCUACCUUGUCCGUGAAUUCUCGGUGUAUAUUUCUUCACACAGUUUGGACAUCACCUUUGCCCCAUCAGCACAUCAGAACAGUUCUUAUGCAUUUGUCAAUGGCAUAGAGAUUGUGCCCACACCUGACAUCUUCACAACAGCUGACACAAUAUUUGUCCACCAUGAUUACAUAGCUCCAUUCACAUUUGCCGCUAACACAGGCUUCCAGACUAUGUACCGGUUCAAUGUCGGGGGCCAAGCCAUUUCCCCCGAGAAUGACUCCGGAUUUUACCGCUUAUGGGCCGAUGAUUCCCCAUACAUAUUUGGUGCUAGCUCUGGGGUGACAUACUCCAAAGAUAAUAAUGUGACUAUUAGGUACACACCCGUAGUGCCAAAGUACAUAGCGCCACUUGACGUCUAUGGUACAGCUCGGUCGAUGGGACCAACUGCACAGGUCAACCUGAAUUACAACCUUACAUGGAUUUUACCUGUUGAUGCGGGGUUCAUUUACCUCCUAAGGUUCCAUUUCUGUGAGAUUCAGUAUCCUAUUACCAAGGAGAACCAGAGGACGUUCUACAUCUACAUCAACAACCAGACAGCACAAUGGGCCAUGGAUGUAAUCUCUUUGAGUGGAGGACUCGGUAGAACAUCAUAUAGAGACUAUAUUAUCAUGGCUAGGGGUUCCGGUCAGGUGGAUAUGUGGAUUGCACUUCACCCUGAUAUUUCAACUAAGCCAUGCUAUGUUGAUGCGAUACUGAAUGGUCUUGAGGUCUUCAAGCUACAGGGUCAUGAACCGAACAAUCUUGCUGGGAUCAAUCCUCCACUUCAACAAAAUCCUGAUGCGGAACCUAAGAGGGUACCUGGCGGUGCAAGAAAGUCCAAAAGUGGCCUACCAGUAGCCAUCGCUGGCGGUUUUGCUUUGAUGUUGAUUGCCCUUUUCAGCAUGUGUGUUAUUUGCCGACGAAAAAAAGUACGGAAGAGUUCUUGCAAGACCAACAACGGACAUCUAAAUCAUCCCGCAUGUGAUCUCUUGCGUCAGUUCUCGUUUUCACAAAUUCAAAUUGCCACCAACGACUUUGAUGAGGAACUAAUCAUUGGCAGAGGUGGAUUUGGUAAUGUCUACAGUGGUGAGAUAGAUGGAGGGACAAAGGUGGCGAUCAAGCGACUCAACCAGGAAUCCCAACAAGGCAGUCAUGAGUUCCAGGCUGAAAUUGAGAUGCUGUGCAAUAUCCGCCAUGGCCACCUUGUGUCUUUGAUUGGCUACUGCCAGGACAAUAAUGAGAUGAUUUUGGUGUACGACUACAUGGCUCAUGGAACAUUGCGUGAGCAUCUGUACAAUACCCAAAACUCACCACUAUCGUGGCGGCGGCGCCUUGAGAUCUGCAUCGGUGCAGCUCGAGGACUGCAUUACCUCCACACUGGCACAGAGACAGGAAUCAUCCACCGUGAUGUUAAGACAUCAAACAUCCUACUGGAUGAGAGGUUCAUGGCGAAGGUUUCUGACUUUGGUCUGUCUAAGGCUUUUCCAGCCAUUGACAAUACCCACGUGAGCACCGCUGUGAAAGGCACCUUUGGAUAUUUUGAUCCGGAGUACUUCCUAUUGCGGCGUCUCACCAAAAAAUCAGAUGUGUACUCCUUCGGAGUCAUGUUGUUUGAGAUCCUGUGUGCGCGCCCUGUGAUAAACACUGAGCUCCCAGACGAGCAAGUGAGCUUACGUGACUGGGCGCUAUAUUGCCAAGAGAGAGGCGUACUUGAGGAGAUUGUUGACCCUUGUGUAAAGGACGAGAUCACCCCCGAGUGCUUCAGUAUAUUUGCAGAGCUAGCAGAAAAAUGUGUUGCUGAUCGUAGCAUGGAUCGGCCAACAAUGGGAGAUGUACUUCAGAACCUUGAGGUCGCACUCAGGUUGCAGGACAAUAACAACUGUGUCGGGAGGCCAUCGUCUCUUCAGAUCAUCGGAAUGCAUUCAGACAAACCAUCGACCCACUCAAUCAUUAGUGUCGCUGCACAGGGAGAGAUAUUUUCAGAUAUUAUACAUCUGGAAGGCCGAUGAAAGCAAACUGCAGAUAUUAAAAGGAGAUGCCACAUAUUUUACACAACUGAACCCUACAGGAUGGAGUCUGGAGACAAACAUUCAAUGCAAAGGAGUGGUCAGGUUUAGCUCGCUAGUCCGGUCAAGUGAAGGACUAGCAAAUUAAUUUCCUGCUGAUAGCGCAAGAAGACCCAGGGUGGUUUAUUUGUACUAUAUAUAGGAUAUUAGCUAGGCUUGUGAGCAAUGCAGAAUAUAUAUGAGGCCCGCAGGGAUUAAAUAUGCCAACUGUUUUUAUGCUCAGACUACGUGCUCAGCGAGAUAAAAAUCCUGAAGGAAGUUAAUUAGUUCACACUUCACAGUCAGUAAGAUGAGCCUGAAAUAAACAUUGCUAUGUUCUAUAUAUAUAGCUGUGGUUGUGAAGUGAGAUAGUUCACUUAACAGGCAAGAUUCGUUUCUCUUUUAAAUUUGUUUGCACUAGCCGCGGUUAUUAGGCCUGUGUUGUAUGUUUGCACUAGCUGCUGGAAUGAACUGCAUGCCCCGCUGAUGUGAUGAUGGUGGGUUUCAUUUGUAUCAUUCCAUCAACAUACAUAUUUCACUUUCCUCUAUUCAGGAACAAGGAAAGAAGCUCCACUGGUACUG